rnacentral:lncRNA from 1 species
GAGGACUUGAAGCAGAGGGGGAGCUACAGAGAGAAUAAUGGCUAACACUGGGGCCCAGAAUGAGCAGAGGCCGGGAAAAGCGCUGAAGGCGACGGAGCGGGCUUUUAAAUCGCUUACUUAAAAAACUCUCAUUUGUUUCUCUGACACUUAAAAAAAAAAAAAAAAAAAAGGUGCCCACUGUGGAAAAAAAAAAAAACCCAAGGAACAAAGAAGAAAAUAGCAAAGCCCUAGUCGAUGCAGCCCUGAUAAUCUUGCAGGCACAUGCCUUGCCAGCCGCCAGAAAAGCUCUUUCCAAACUGCUCUGGAAGUAGGAAACUAGCAGAGAAAGCCCCAGCUUCCCUGGGGGACGGUGAGGUCACACUAGCAGAAGCCAGCCCCGAGGACAGCUUUUUUUGUCUUCCUCCUUCACUCUGACGGGGCUGUGUCUGUAGGCCGGGAGGGACAAGCAGCCGGGCACCUUGGAGAAUUCAGAUCUGCUGCUGUCAUAUUUGUGGGGCUCUCAGACUGCCUCCAUAUGUGUGGAGCUAAGAGAGGAGUUCCCUGAUUUUUAAAGAUAAAAAGGAAGGAGAGUGGGAUGCAAACCCUGCCUGUACUUCUUGCUUAGACAGGGGCAACAUGCAGGCUAGAGCCAGCCCAGGCGAACCUUCAACCAGAGGAUUAUCUCUGGGG